rnacentral:rRNA from 1 species
CCUGGCUCAGCAUGAACGCUAGCUACAGGCUUAACACAUGCAAGUCGAGGGGCAGCAUGGUCUUAGCUUGCUAAGGCCGAUGGCGACCGGCGCACGGGUGAGUAACACGUAUCCAACCUGCCGUCUACUCUUGGACAGCCUUCUGAAAGGAAGAUUAAUACAAGAUGGCAUCAUGAGUCCGCAUGUUCACAUGAUUAAAGGUAUUCCGGUAGACGAUGGGGAUGCGUUCCAUUAGAUAGUAGGCGGGGUAACGGCCCACCUAGUCUUCGAUGGAUAGGGGUUCUGAGAGGAAGGUCCCCCACAUUGGAACUGAGACACGGUCCAAACUCCUACGGGAGGCAGCAGUGAGGAAUAUUGGUCAAUGGGCGAGAGCCUGAACCAGCCAAGUAGCGUGAAGGAUGACUGCCCUAUGGGUUGUAAACUUCUUUUAUAAAGGAAUAAAGUCGGGUAUGGAUACCCGUUUGCAUGUACUUUAUGAAUAAGGAUCGGCUAACUCCGUGCCAGCAGCCGCGGUAAUACGGAGGAUCCGAGCGUUAUCCGGAUUUAUUGGGUUUAAAGGGAGCGUAGAUGGAUGUUUAAGUCAGUUGUGAAAGUUUGCGGCUCAACCGUAAAAUUGCAGUUGAUACUGGAUAUCUUGAGUGCAGUUGAGGCAGGCGGAAUUCGUGGUGUAGCGGUGAAAUGCUUAGAUAUCACGAAGAACUCCGAUUGCGAAGGCAGCCUGCUAAGCUGCAACUGACAUUGAGGCUCGAAAGUGUGGGUAUCAAACAGGAUUAGAUACCCUGGUAGUCCACACGGUAAACGAUGAAUACUCGCUGUUUGCGAUAUACAGCAAGCGGCCAAGCGAAAGCGUUAAGUAUUCCACCUGGGGAGUACGCCGGCAACGGUGAAACUCAAAGGAAUUGACGGGGGCCCGCACAAGCGGAGGAACAUGUGGUUUAAUUCGAUGAUACGCGAGGAACCUUACCCGGGCUUAAAUUGCAGAUGAAUUACGGUGAAAGCCGUAAGCCGCAAGGCAUCUGUGAAGGUGCUGCAUGGUUGUCGUCAGCUCGUGCCGUGAGGUGUCGGCUUAAGUGCCAUAACGAGCGCAACCCUUGUUGUCAGUUACUAACAGGUUCCGCUGAGGACUCUGACAAGACUGCCAUCGUAAGAUGUGAGGAAGGUGGGGAUGACGUCAAAUCAGCACGGCCCUUACGUCCGGGGCUACACACGUGUUACAAUGGGGGGUACAGAGGGCCGCUACCACGCGAGUGGAUGCCAAUCCCCAAAACCUCUCUCAGUUCGGACUGGAGUCUGCAACCCGACUCCACGAAGCUGGAUUCGCUAGUAAUCGCGCAUCAGCCACGGCGCGGUGAAUACGUUCCCGGGCCUUGUACACAC